UGACGAUACAGGACGCGUGUCACUGACUUUUUCUGGCUCCUCUUGCCUCUUCCGACGGCUGUCACAGAAUCCAAGUGUGACUAGGCCUUCGAAAGCGGCCGGGUUCAGCCAUACUAUGAGAACCAGGAAUCCUGUUCAUGCAUAAGGCUUUCCAAGCCUCAGAAGCAGUAUCAUGAUUUCGUACAUUGGUAAGUACUUUUUAUCUCAGUAUUGCAUAAAUCUUUGCAACAAAUUCAGGAUACUAAUGAUUCAGUUGAAAUGAUUCUGUUUGUGAUUUCCCUUCG